rnacentral:rRNA from 1 species
AGUGAACGCUGGCGGUAGGCCUAACACAUGCAAGUCGAACGGCAGCACAGUAAGAGCUUGCUCUUAUGGGUGGCGAGUGGCGGACGGGUGAGGAAUACAUCGGAAUCUACUUUUUCGUGGGGGAUAACGUAGGGAAACUUACGCUAAUACAGCAUACGACCUACGGGUGAAAGCAGUGGAUCUUCGCACCUUGCGCGAAUGAAUGAGCCGAUGUCGGAUUAGCUAGUUGGCGGGGUAAUGGCCCACCAAGGCGACGAUCCGUAGCUGGUCUGAGAGGAUGAUCAGCCACACUGGAACUGAGACACGGUCCAGACUCCUACGGGAGGCAGCAGUGGGGAAUAUUGGACAAUGGGCGCAAGCCUGAUCCAGCCAUACCGCGUGGGUGAAGAAGGCCUUCGGGUUGUAAAGCCCUUUUGUUGGGAAAGAAAAGCAGCAGGUUAAUACCCCGCUGUUCUGACGGUACCCAAAGAAUAAGCACCGGCUAACUUCGUG